AUUACCAUCCCCACAAAGGUUGGUCUCGGCAACAUGAAAACUUGCUAAUUCCUCACCGGUGCUUGUUUCAAGCAGCAGCCAUGGAAGCCAAGACUCCAGGGACGUGAGAUAUUUGAGAUGAGAAAGAAAAGAACCAGAGCAAGCUGGAAGAGGCUCAGAAUCCAGGCAGGAUGUUGUUACCGGAAGACAAGACUUCAGACCUCUCACUUCUCUGAAUGAAAUGGAGAGGGGUGAUAAUUAUGUUUAAGGAAAGAAGUCUACCUCUGACCACUGAAAUGGGACAUUCUUGAGUCACAGAGAACACGGGAGGGCGAGAUUUGUCCGUGGCUAAGGGCAGCUGGUGCUCUGUCGGCAGAACUGGGUUGAUGCCCAGCAGCCACAGUGUGGCUCAUCAACACCUACAACUCCGGUUCCAGGGGAUCUGACCCCUUCUGGCUUCAUGGGCAUUAGGCAAGCAUACAGUGCACAUACAUACAUACAUGCAGGCAAGCACUCACACACAUAAAAAACUAAGAGCCCAUCAUGUAGCUGCAAAGGGAGGUGAUAAACUAAUUUUUUGUAAGUGCUUCCUGUUGUGUGUCAGGGAUGCAGGCAAUCCAUAUAUAAGGAUUGCUAUAAUAAAUCCACAUAAUAAAAAUCUGCAUAGUAAAAAAAUAAACAACACCAAGAUAUUGACCUAA